rnacentral:lncRNA from 1 species
UCCAGAUCUCUUGGUACCUACCCCUAGAGGCAGGUUUUGCCCCUGCUGCAGGCUGUGGAAGUACAACACUGUGAAAAUAAUUGAUAGAGGCACAGACUGCAGAAAGGAAGGAGGAAGGCUGAAUUCCCCUCUGUUACAUGCAGAUUAGCUCUCUGCUUGCUAUCAAUAUACACAUCAGCUAGACAAAGUUCGGACAGCGCUCUUUUAAAGACAGCUCCAGUUUUCCUGAAGGGAAAGAUCUGUUGGGCAUUAGCUGUGGAGGUCUUCUGCUUCAGCUGUGAUCAGAAAGAAUAUAGGAAAGAAAACCAAGUAAGGUUGCAGUCCUAUAAAUCUUUCUGCACUGAAUUACACUGAAUGGUGCCCCACAGAAAGACCAAGGUU